rnacentral:rRNA from 1 species
AGUGAACGCUGGCGGUAGGCCUAACACAUGCAAGUCGAACGGCAGCACAGUAAGCGCUUGCUCUUACGGGUGGCGAGUGGCGGACGGGUGAGGAAUACAUCGGAAUCUACUUUUUCGUGGGGGACAACGUAGGGACACUUACGCUAAUACCGCAUACGACCUACGGGUGAAAGCAGGGGAUCUUCGGACCUUGCGCGAUUGAUUGAGCCGAUGUCGGAUUAGCUAGUUGGCGGGGUAAAGGCCCACCAAGGCAACGAUCCGUAGCUGGUCUGAGAGGAUGAUCAGCCACACUGGAACUGAGACACGGUCCAGACUCCUACGGGAGGCAGCAGUGGGGAAUAUUGGACAAUGGGCGCAAGCCUGAUCCAGCCAUACCGCGUGGGUGAAGAAGGCCUUCGGGUUGUAAAGCCCUGUUGUUGGGAAAGAAAAGCAGCAGGUUAAUACCCCGCUGUUCUGACGGUACCCAAAGAAUAAGCACCGGCUAACUUCGUG